rnacentral:rRNA from 1 species
AGGGGCGAGUUCCGCAAGGAGUUCAAGCAGAAGAACCCCAAGAACAAGUCUGUUGCUGCUGUAGGCAAAGCAGCCGGUGGGAGGUGGAAGAGCUUGAGCGAAUCAUGGUGUACCAUCUUUGCAAGGGCGUUGCUUUUUGCCACGGACGUGGUGUCCGGCACCAUGACCUUGAGCCACACAACCUGCAAAUUGGUGGAUGGGUUGGUAUCCUCUAGUUUGAUCCCAGCAAGAGGAAGUGUUCUCUUCUCUUUAUCAACCAAAGGCACUUUCUUCUCUCAUGGAUGGAUGGGACUCCAUCAAUUUAGUACCAGUUUAGGUGUUAUUAUUCUACUGAUGCUUGUGUUGAUUCCAUGCUUUUUGUCUUGUCAUGUGCUGAUAUUAACUGGCAGCAUCAGCUCCCAUGAUUGCUUGCUUGCUUUCUUACUCUAUAACCUGUACUGCUAA